rnacentral:rRNA from 1 species
UUCAGUCUAGAGUUGACCGUACCGCAAACCGACACAGGUGGGCAGGAUGAAAAUUCUAAGGCGCUUGAGAGAACUCAGGAGAAGGAACUCGGCAAAUUAACACCGUAACUUCGGGAGAAGGUGUGCCCCGGUAGCGUGUAGAGACUUGCUCUCGAAGCGCGAUGGGGUUGCAGUGAAAUGGUGGCUGCGACUGUUUAAUAAAAACACAGCACUCUGCAAACACGAAAGUGGACGUAUAGGGUGUGACGCCUGCCCGGUGCCGGAAGGUUAAGUGAUGGGGUGCAAGCUCUUGAUCGAAGCCCCGGUAAACGGCGGCCGUAACGAUAACGGUCCUAAGGUAGCGAAAUUCCUUGUCGGGUAAGUUCCGACCUGCACGAAUGGCGUAACGAUGGCCACACUGUCUCCUCCUGGGACUCAGCGAAGUUGAAAUGUUUGUGAAGAUGCAAUCUACCCGCGGCUAGACGGAAAGACCCCAUGAACCUUUACUGUAGCUUUGCAUUGGACUUUGAACCGGUUUGUGUAGGAUAGGUGGGAGACUGUGAAGCCGGGACGCUAGUUUCGGUGGAGUCAACCUUGAAAUACCACCCUGAUUUGUUUGAGGUUCUAACCUUGGUCCGUGAAUCCGGAUCGGGGACCGUGCAUGGUAGGCAGUUUGACUGGGGCGGUCUCCUCCCAAAAGGUAACGGAGGAGUACGAAGGUACGCUUAGGGCGGUCGGACAUCGCCCACAAAGUGCAAUGGCAAAAGCGUGCUUGACUGCGAGACCCACAAGUCGAGCAGGUACGAAAGUAGGUCAUAGUGAUCCGGUGGUUCUGUAUGGAAGGGCCAUCGCUCAACGGAUAAAAGGUACUCUGGGGAUAACAGGCUAAUUCCUCCCAAGAGUUCAUAUCGACGGGGGAGUUUGGCACCUCGAUGUCGGCUCAUCACAUCCUGGGGCUGUAGUCGGUCCCAAGGGUAUGGCUGUUCGCCAUUUAAAGUGGUACGCGAGCUGGGUUUAAAACGUCGUGAGACAGUUUGGUCCCUAUCUGCCGUGGGCGCUGGAAAUUUGAAGGGGGCUGCUCCUAGUACGAGAGGACCGGAGUGGACGAACCUCUGGUGUACCGGUUAUGACGCCAGUCGUAUCGCCGGGUAGCUAAGUUCGGAAGAGAUAAACGCUGAAAGCAUCUAAGCGUGAAACUCGCCUUAAGAUAAGAUUUCCCGGAGUCUUGAACUCCCUGAAGGGUCGUCGAAGACCACGACGUUGAUAGGUCAGGUGUGGAAGCGCAGCAAUGCGUUAAGCUAACUGAUACUAAUUGCCCGUGCGGCUUGAUCCG